rnacentral:lncRNA from 1 species
ACUAAAUCUGGCAAAGGUGCAUAUCAUUCAUAUCAUGGGAACGAUAAAUUAAGUCAAAGGUUGAACAGAAUAAUGGUAGGUAUGGAUACUUCGCUUAACAGGUACACAUAGUAGCCUAGCCCCCAUGCUUUCAGUGCAGGGGAAGUCCUCAUGGCGUCACCUUGCCCAUCAAUUCGUCAAAAAUGUUCUCAACCUGCUGCGGUGCAUGCAAAAUUAGAGGAUAGACCUGAAGGUAAAAUAUUACUACUAGCCUACUAGGCCAGCCAUAUUGGAAUAAUUUAAAACUACUUAGUAGGUCUACUAUAAGAAACACAAGCUAUCAGGACAAAAUUCUAUCAUUCUUUGGACAAGGAACUGUAAGAACCCUCACCUUGUGUACAUUGGUCUUGCGUGCUGAAGAAGAGGAGGAAGAGCGCCGGACAAGUCCACAGCGGCCUGAAUCGAACGAAUUGGGCUUCGAAGGUGGAGCAAAACCAACUCUUCUCUCACGGGGGCUUAGUGACUCGACCACCACUCCGCUCCACUGGGAGUGCGACGAGGGAGGGGAGCGGCGCGCGGAGGAGCAUGGGUGGUGGUGGCGGCGGAACCGGCCGGCGGCCGCCACUGGGACGAGGGAGGGAUGGGGCUCGAAUGGGGUGGCUUGGCUGAAUCAAUGCGAGGAGAGGAGGUGGGAGGGAGAAAGGAGGAGAGAAUCUGGGAGAAGGCCGCAGGCCCGCAGCGCGGCGUCGCAGAGCUCGCCGGCGCCGGCGGGCGAAAAUGGG